GACGAACGCUGGCGGCGUGCCUAAUACAUGCAAGUUGAGCGCUGAAGGUUGGUACUUGUACCAACUGGAUGAGCAGCGAACGGGUGAGUGACGCGUGGGGAAUCUGCCUUUGAGCGGGGGACAACAUUUGGAAACGAAUGCUAAUACCGCAUAAAAACUUUAAACACAAGUUUUAAGUUUGAAAGAUGCAAUUGCAUCACUCAAAGAUGAUCCCGCGUUGUAUUAGCUAGUUGGUGAGGUAAAGGCUCACCAAGGCGAUGAUACAUAGCCGACCUGAGAGGGUGAUCGGCCACAUUGGGACUGAGACACGGCCCAAACUCCUACGGGGGGCAGCAGUAGGGAAUCUUCGGCAAUGGACGAAAGUCUGACCGAGCAACGCCGCGUGAGUGAAGAAGGUUUUCGGAUCGUAAAACUCUGUUGGUAGAGAAGAACGUUGGUGAGAGUGGAAAGCUCAUCAAGUGACGGUAACUACACAGAAAGGGACGGCUAACUACGUG
rnacentral:rRNA from 1 species